rnacentral:lncRNA from 1 species
CUAAAUGGCAAUCAAGAUUUGGCCUCAUCUUGCCCGAGUUAAGGGUGGCCAUCCUCUGCCUCAUUUGAAAAAUCACCAUGGAGCAAGCUGGAAUUAAAUAAGUACCAUAACUCUCAUCCCAUAUCUCCUGCACUAGAAGAGGAAAACACUCCAGUGUCAUCACCCCAAGCUGCUGCUCUCCAUAAGAUUCAAAUUCUGUGAGCAGCACCAAGGAGAUCCUGUUUACUUGUGCUUUUAUACAUUGGUUUCAUUUCUGGAGAGUUGGACCCAUGUUUCUGACAGCAAACAGGUACAAAAAAGAUGCUAAAAUGUGGGAGGUAAAAGCUCACUGGCUUUACAAGUUUCAAUUAAACACAUAUAUUAAUGUUAUCCUUAUGUGCUUAUUUAUAAACACA